CAUGGGUGAUCUGUUGUGGGCUGAUGAAGUGAAUAUGCGUAUCGAUGCCGCCUGCUGUGGCUAUCAGUCCUGCACCACCAUGCACUUCUGUGCUGGCGCCAAUGAUCAUAUCAGGGUCUACCCCAUCCAUGGUAUCAGGAUUACCUGCUUUGCCUAUUUUCACAAUACGGCCAUCCUUGAUGCCGAUGUCUGCUUUCACUAUGCCCCAGUGGUCAAUGAUCAUCACACUGGUGAUGACCAUAUCCAGCACUCCCUCAUUGCGGGUAGCAGUGGAGGAUUGCGCCAUUCCGUCGCGGAU
rnacentral:sRNA from 1 species